rnacentral:lncRNA from 1 species
CAGAGGGAUUCCAUGAAACUUUACUUAGUUUCCUCAAUGAUAACAUCUUGCAAAACUACAACACAAUAUCACAACUGAGAUGUUGGAAUUGAUACAGUCAAGAUAUAGAAGGUUUCCAUUACCACCAGGAUCUUCAUGUUGUCCUUUUAUUUUAGUCAUUCUAAUAGGUGUGUUUUAAAAUUUGCAUUUCUCUAAUGGCUAAUGAUGUUGAACAUCUUUUCUUUUUUGCCCCAAGGUCCCUGGCCCGUCUGCCCUCUUCUUUCUACCUUUCAGAGCCUUCUUAUGUUUACUGUAUAUACAAAGUCCAUGGUUUUGAGCUGCACUCAGUGGGAAGAAUAGGGGAAAGUAUCUUCCCGGAAGCAGAAGUCC